rnacentral:rRNA from 1 species
GAUGAACGCUAGCGGCAGGCUUAACACAUGCAAGUCGAGGGGUAUAGUUUUCGGAACUAGAGACCGGCGCACGGGUGCGUAACGCGUAUGCAAUCUACCUUUUGCAGAGGGAUAGCCCAGAGAAAUUUGGAUUAAUACCUCAUAGUAUUAUAGAAUGGCAUCAUUUUAUAAUUAAAGUCACAACGGCAAAAGAUGAGCAUGCGUCCCAUUAGCUAGAUGGUAAGGUAACGGCUUACCAUGGCUACGAUGGGUAGGGGUCCUGAGAGGGAGAUCCCCACACUGGUACUGAGACACGGACCCAGACUCCUACGGGAGGCAGCAGUGAGAAUAUUGGUCAAUGGACGCAAGUCUGAACCAGCCAUGCCGCGUGCAGGAUGACGGUCCUAUGGAUUGUAAACUGCUUUUGUACGAGAAGAAACAACAUUACGUGUAAUGUCUUGACGGUAUCGUAAGAAUAAGGAUCGCUAACUCCGUGCCAGCAGCCGCGGUAAUACGGAGGAUCCAAGCGUUAUCCGGAAUCAUUGGGUUUAAAGGGUCCGUAGGCGGUUUAGUAAGUCAGUGGUGAAAGCCCAUCGCUCAACGAUGGAACGGCCAUU